GUCUAUGGCCAUGCCACCCUGAACAAGCCCGAUCCUGUCUGAUCUCAGAAGCUAAGCAGGGUCGGGCCUGGUUAGUACUUGGAUGGGAGACCACCUAGGAAGACCAGGUGCUGUAGGCG
rnacentral:rRNA from 1 species